rnacentral:rRNA from 1 species
UACGUAGGGGGCAAGCGUUGUCCGGAUUUAUUGGGCGUAAAGCGCGUGUAGGCGGCCAGGUAAGUCAGUGGUGAAAUCUCCGAGCUUAACUCGGAAACUGCCUUUGAUACUCUCUGUCUUGAAUAUGGUGGAGGUAAGCGGAAUAUGUCAUGUAGCGGUGAAAUGCUUAGAGAUGACAUAGAACACCUAUUGCGAAGGCAGCUUACUACGCCUAUAUUGACGCUGAGGCACGAAAGCGUGGGGAUCAAACAGG